rnacentral:rRNA from 1 species
UGGGGAAUUUUGGACAAUGGGGGAAACCCUGAUCCAGCCAUCCCGCGUGUGCGAAGAAGGCCUUCGGGUUGUUAAGCACUUUUGGCAGGAAAGAAACGUCAUGGGUUAAUACCCCGUGAAACUGACGGUACCUGCAGAAUAAGCACCGGCUAACUACGUGCCAGCAGCCGCGGUAAUACGUAGGGUGCAAGCGUUAAUCGGAAUUACUGGGCGUAAAGCGUGCGCAGGCGGUACGGAAAGAAAGAUGUGAAAUCCCAGAGCUCAACUUUGGAACUGCAUUUUUAACUACCGGGCUAGAGUGUGUCAGAGGGAGGUGGAAUUCCGCGUGUAGCAAUGAAAUGCGUAGAUAUGCGGAGGAACACCGAUGGCGAAUGCAGCCUCCUGGGAUAACACUGACACUCAUGCACGAAAGCGUGGGGAGCAAACAGG